rnacentral:rRNA from 1 species
GUCUAUGGUCAUACACCCUGAAUGUGCUGGAUCUUGUCUGAUCUCAGAAGCGAAGCACAGUUGGACAUGGUUAGUACUUGGAUAAGUGACAGUGCUUCUGAAUAAUAUACA